rnacentral:rRNA from 1 species
UCGGAUCAGGUAGGGAUACCCGCUGAACUUAAGCAUAUCAAAGGCCGGAGGGA